rnacentral:rRNA from 1 species
UACGUAGGGUGCGAGCGUUGUUCGGAAUUAUUGGGCGUAAAGCGCGUGUAGGCGGCUUUGCAAGUCGGGUGUGAAAGCCCUCAGCUCAACUGAGGAAGUGCGCCCGAAACUGCAGAGCUUGAGUACCGGAGAGGAUGGCGGAAUUCCCCAAGUAGAGGUGAAAUUCGUAGAUAUGGGGAGGAACACCGGUGGCGAAGGCGGCCAUCUGGACGGAUACUGACGCUGAGACGCGAAAGCGUGGGGAGCAAACAGG